GUCCGUUCCAUUCUGAAUAUACCGGUUCUCGUUAGAUCACCGAAGUUAAGCAUCAUUGAGCGCGGUCAGUACUUGGGUGGGUGACCACCUGGGAACACUGCGUGCGG
rnacentral:rRNA from 1 species